GUCUACUAGUUGUCGGGUUUUAAUUAACUUGGUAACGCAGCUAACGCGUGAAGUAGACCGCCUGGGGAGUACGGUCGCAAGAUUAAAACUCAAAGGAAUUGACGGGGACCCGCACAAGCGGUGGAUGAUGUGGAUUAAUUCGAUGCAACGCGAAAAACCUUACCUACCCUUGACAUGUACGGAAGACCGAAGAGAUUUGGUUGUGCUCGAAAGAGAACCGUAACACAGGUGCUGCAUGGCUGUCGUCAGCUCGUGUCGUGAGAUGUUGGGUUAAGUCCCGCAACGAGCGCAACCCUUGUCAUUAGUUGCUACGAAAGGGCACUCUAAUGAGACUGCCGGUGACAAACCGGAGGAAGGUGGGGAUGACGUCAAGUCCUCAUGGCCCUUAUGGGUAGGGCUUCACACGUCAUACAAUGGUACAUACAGAGCGCCGCCAACCCGCGAGGGGGAGCUAAUCGCAGAAAGUGUAUCGUAGUCCGGAUUGUAGUCUGCAACUCGACUACAUGAAGUUGGAAUCGCUAGUAAUCGCGGAUCAGCAUGUCGCGGUGAAUACGUUCCCGGGUCUUGUACACACCGCCCGUCACACCAUGGGAGCGGGUUUUACCAGAAGUAGGUAGCUUAACCGCAAGGAGGGCGCUUACCACGGUAGGAUUCGUGACUGGGGUGAAGUCGUAACAAGGUAGCCGUAUCGAAGGUGC
rnacentral:rRNA from 1 species